CCACCCCGGGGCGGUAAAGUGGAGGAACUUCUCUGUGUGUUUUGGGAAUGAGGUGGAAGYUGCCGGCGGUCGUCGUGCUUCUUCUUCAGGGACUGGCGACCUCAUUUAAAGGCUGGGAGCCCGGGACUUCGAUCCUGGGACCUGCCAUUUUAAAGGAAACCGACUCAUGAGUCGGAGAAGAUUCCUUACUGUCUCUGGAUCUAGGUUAUCUCAACAGUAAAAUGAGCAAAAUGACCGACUUCCCAGGACAAAGCCGUGCACGAUGAUGUUUCACCAAGAUGAUGUCAGUACAGCUAGGGAGAUGCAGCACACACCUUCACUCCCUCUGUCUCUGGAAGAGAAACCAGAUUGUAGAGGGCAUGGAGUACAGAAGCUAACAGAACUCAAAAUGUUUCCUCUGCCAGAAGCAGUCUGGACGCUCCUUCUUAAUUUUGAGACUUACCUUAAGGUCACUUCUCCUAUGAAUGCAUCAUUCUUCAUCUCCUCAGGUAGAAUGACCCCUCUCUCCUUGUCCCUAAUGGUACUCUAAAUUGAAAUCUCUUCCCUUUUUGUUUCUACAUGUCUCCCUCUGCUGCUGUUGUGAGCUUCACAAGGACAGAAAAUAUUUGAUUGACCUUUACAUCUGCAGUACCUGGCAUACAGUUGGCAACUAGUGAAUGAUUUUAGGGGAUGAAUAUGCUGCAGUCACAUAGAGAUAACUGAAGGGAUCAGUAGUACUUAUUGCCAUAUAUUUAAAUCCCAUCUUAUUCUCUUUUUGCCAGUUGAGGUUAUUUUAGUCUGUUUUAUAUAUAAUCAUGCUAUCAAGAAUAAAUAUUAAAUAAAGUUUUUGUUUUCCCUGUUUCUAGAAGGCCAUUUCUGCCAGUGCCUUGGUAAAUCCACUAGAAAGAUAGCUACAGAUAGAAAGCACGUUUGAUACGGUGUUUAGAUAGCUUCAAGAUGUCUCCUGGAGAAGGAAAGGGAGGAAAAGGACUGGGCUGGCUUCUUUAAAUAAAGGAAAUAUUGUCUUGAUGAAAUUUUUGCCCUUUUGGCAUUACCUAUAAGCUUUCUUCAGCUCUAUCAUCCAACGAGUCUGUGAUCUGU